rnacentral:rRNA from 1 species
AUUGAACGCUGGCGGCAUGCCUUACACAUGCAAGUCGAACGGCAGCAUGGAGAGCUUGCUCUCUGAUGGCGAGUGGCGAACGGGUGAGUAAUGCAUCGGAACGUACCGUGUAAUGGGGGAUAACGUAGCGAAAGUUAUGCUAAUACCGCAUACGACCUGAGGGUGAAAGCAGGGGAUCGCAAGACCUUGCGUUAUACGAGCGGCCGAUGUCAGGUUAGCUAGUUGGUGAGGUAAAGGCUCACCAAGGCGACGAUCUGUAGCGGGUCUGAGAGGAUGAGCCGCCAGACUGGGACUGAGACACGGCCCAGACUCCUACGGGAGGCAGCAGUGGGGAAUUUUGGACAAUGGGGGCAACCCUGAUCCAGCCAUGCCGCGUGAGUGAAGAAGGCCUUCGGGUUGUAAAGCUCUUUCGGCCGGGAAGAAAUCGCACAGGCUAAUACUCUGUGUGGAUGACGGUACCGGCAUAAGAAGCACCGGCUAACUACGUGCCAGCCGCCGCGGUAA